ensembl:lncRNA
GAGUUGUUUGUGCAGAUUACGGGCCUAGCGUUCCCCUGAUGUUACUGUGAAGUAAGCUUGAUAGUGCUGUGUUACUAAUUGUGGGAUGAUGUUUACUUUGUUUUCAAAUCUGGCGCCUACUGGAGCACUGUGUAAAGGCAUUUAUCACCGUAGGUACACAUCCUCUUCACACACACACACACACACACACAAGCGGCAUUCAUUCUUCACCACAUUGGACUACAGUGGCUGACUGAGUCUGAACAUGGUUCUCAAAUAAGAACUACCCACCACCAAAGGACCAAGCAGCGUGUAAUGGACUCCUGGACAUGGGAGGAAAUAUUGGACGCCAAGGGACCCUGGGCACAGCCGGGAGAGUAUCGCCGUCCGAAAGAGAAGCUGGAGGCAGCUAGAGCGGAGCGGCGACACUACGAGGAAUUGGCUCAAGGUAACGUGCACGAGAGGCAGCCCCAGAAUUCUUUUGGGGGGGCACACAGGGAGAUUGGCGACAGCAGGUAGGAGACCUGAGCCAACUCCCUGUGCUUACCGUGGUGAGAGAGUGAACGGGCAGGCACCGUGUUAUGCGGUGAAGCGCACGGUGUCCCCAGUGCGCACGCAUAGCCCGGUGCGCUACAUCGCAGCUCCUCGAAUCGGCCUGGCUAGAGUGGGAAUCGAGCCAGGAGGGAUGAUGCCGGCUCAGCGCAUCUGGUCUCCAGUGCGUCUCCUCGGCCCGGGUUAUACGGCACCAGCCCUACGCACGGUGUCCCCGGUUCGCCAGCACAGCCCAGUGCGGCCAGUUCCAACUCUCCGCACUUGCCGGGCUACAGGGGGUAUCCAGCCAGGACAGGUUGUGCAGGCUCGUUGCUCGAGACCUCCAGUGCGCCUCCACGACCCAGUGCAUCCGGUGCCUCGGCCAAGGAGGAGGCCGCCUGUAUGUCUCCCCUUCUGUCCGGAGCCUCCAGAGCCACCUGUCUGUCCGGAGCUGCCAGAGCCACCCGUCUAUCCAGUGCUGUCAGAGCCGCCCGUCUGUCCGGAGCUGCCAGAGCCGCCCGUCUGUCCAGAGCCGCCAGAGCCACCCGUCUGUCCAGAGCUGCCAGUCUGUCCGGAGCCGCCCGUCUGUCCGGAGCCACCAGAGCCGCCCGUCAGUCCGGAGCCGCCAGAGCCGCCCGCCUGUCUGGCGCCGCCAGAGUCUCCCACCUGUCCAGCGCCACCAGAGUCUCCCGCCUAUUCGGGGCCCGCUGUAAGGGUCCCCAGUUCAGGGUCGGCAGCGAGGGUCGCCACUCCAGAGGCGCCAACUAAGUGGGCCAAGACUAAGGUGGAGUUGGUCUACGUCCCGCACCAGAGCCACCACCGCGGUGAAAUGCCCACCCAGACCCUCCCCUAUAGGUUCAGGUUUUGAGGCCGCACCUUUGGGGGGGGGUACUGUCACGUCCUGAC